AAAAGAUAAUUUUGGAAAAUCAGAAAAGUGCACGUCUCAUAAGGCUCAUUUAUCACAAAAAAAUCUGGAAAACGGUUGACCCUAAAGGCCAUCCCUGCAACUUCCGCUAAUUCCAUAUCGA